rnacentral:rRNA from 1 species
CCCUUAGAUGUCCGGGGCCGCACGCGCGCUACACUGAAGGAAUCAGCGUGGCUUUCUCCCUGACCCGAAAGGGUUGGGAAACCCGUUGAAUCUCCUUCGUGAUAGGGAUUGGGGCUUGAAAUUGUUCCCCAUGAACGAGGAAUUCCCAGUAAGCGCGAGUCAUAAGCUCGCGUUGAUUACGUCCCUUCCCUUUGUACACACCGCCCGUCGCUACUACCGAUUGAACGGUUUAGUGAGGGCCUCGGAUUGGUCUCGGCCCGCUCUUUACCGGGCGGCGCCGUUGGUCGAGAAGACGCUCGAACUUGAUCGUUUAGAGGAAGUAAAAGUCGUAACA